rnacentral:rRNA from 1 species
AGCGAACGCUGGCGGCAGGCCUAACACAUGCAGGUCGAACGAACCCUUCGGGGUUAGUGGCGGACGGGUGAGUAACACGUGGGAACGUGCCUUUAGGUUCGGAAUAACUCAGGGAAACUUGUGCUAAUACCGAAUGUGCCCUUCGGGGGAAAGAUUUAUCGCCUUUAGAGCGGCCCGCGUCUGAUUAGCUAGUUGGUGAGGUAAUGGCUCACCAAGGCUACGAUCAGUCGCUGGUCUGAGAGGAUGACCAGCCACAUUGGGACUGAGACACGGCCCAAACUCCUACGGGAGGCAGCAGUGGGGAAUCUUGCGCAAUGGGCGAAAGCCUGACGCAGCCAUGCCGCGUGGAUGAUGAAGGUCUUAGGAUUGUAAAAUCCUUUCACCGGUGAAGAUAAUGACUGUAGCCGGAGAAGAAGCCCCGGCUAACUUCGUGCCAGCAGCCGCGGUAACAC